rnacentral:rRNA from 1 species
UGCGUAGGUGGUCGGGUAAGUCUGAUGUGAAAUCCCGCAGCUCAACUGCGGAAUGGCAUUGGAUACUAUUUGGCUAGAGGGUUGGAGGGGGGACUGGAAUUCUCGGUGUAGCAGUGAAAUGCGUAGAUAUCGAGAGGAACACCAGUGGCGAAGGCGAGUCCCUGGACAACUCCUGACGCUGAGGCAAGACUAGGGGAGCAACA